AGGACGAACGCUGGCGGCGUGCCUAACACAUGCAAGUCGAGCGAGAAAUCCUUCGGGAUGGAUUAGCGGCGGACGGGUGAGUAACACGUGGGUAACCUGCCUCAAAGAGGGGGAUAGCCUCCCGAAAGGGAGAUUAAUACCGCAUAACAUUAGUUUUUCGCAUGAAGAAUUGAUUAAAGGAGUAAUCCGCUUUGGGAUGGGCCCGCGGACCAUUAGCUAGUUGGUGAGGUAACGGCUCACCAAGGCCGAGAUGGUUAGCUGGUCUGAGAGGAUGAUCAGCCACACUGGAACUGAGAUACGGUCCAGACUCCUACGGGAGGCAGCAGUGAGGAAUAUUGCGCAGUGGAGGCAACUCUGACGCAGCAACGCCGCGUGGGUGAAGAAGGCUUUCGGGUUGUAAAGCCCUGUCAGGUGGGAAGAAACCUCUUCUAGUGAAUAGCUAGAGGAACUGACGGUACCACCAAAGGAAGCACCGGCUAACUCCGUGCCAGCAGCCGCGGUAAGACGGAGGGUGCAAGCGUUGUUCGGAAUCACUGGGCGUAAAGCGCGUGUAGGCGGUUCGAUAAGUCGAGUGUGAAAGCCCGAGGCUCAACUUCGGAAGUGCAUUCGGAACUGUCGAGCUUGAGUACGGGAGAGGGAAGUGGAAUUCCUGGUGUAGAGGUGAAAUUCGUAGAUAUCAGGAGGAACACCGGUGGCGAAGGCGGCUUCCUGGACCGAUACUGACGCUGAGACGCGAAAGCGUGGGGAGCAAACAGGAUUAGAUACCCUGGUAGUUCACGCCGUAAACUGUGAGCGCUAGGUGUAGCGGGUAUUGACCCCUGCUGUGCCGCAGCUAACGCAUUAAGCGCUCCGCCUGGGGAGUACGGCCGCAAGGUUAAA
rnacentral:rRNA from 1 species